AAAUCAAUUGUUUAGGACAAGGUUCCUAAGGAUCCUAACAAGCCUAAGAGGCCUGCAACCGCUUUUUUCAUUUUCAUGUACUUGAGUUUUCACCAUUGCUAUCCAGCUUUCUGUUUACUGUUCUUUUGAUGUGUAUGGUUCAAGUCAACUUGUGCUUGCUGCAGGGAGACUUUUCGAGCUGAGUUUAAGGAAAAUAAUCCUGGAAAUGCAAAUGGAAAUGCAAACGAGUCUGUUGAUUCAAAUCCCAGUGUUGUCAUUUUAGGUAUUUUUAAUUCUUUUUGUGGCUAUUUUUUUUAUUCUUUAACUGCAGGCCUUAUCUAAUUGAGUUGAUAGUCUAAUGGAUUUUAUCAAUUUAAAUGUGACAUGUUUUUGAACAUCCAUCAGUGAUGAAGAACCAUAAAGUGAUAGCCUUUUAAAAGGAAAAAAAAACAGAGAAAGCUUGUGCCUUUGAUAUUUCCACAAUGAAGUUUAGAUACUGCAGCAAGAAUGUAGUGAAAUCCCAGAAAGCUUUCUUUCUGACAGAAGUCGUGUAAGAAAAUUUUAAAACUGAAUAAGAGGAAUUGCUUACCUCCGUUAAUUUCUAAAGUUUUAUAAUAGACAGAGCUAGCCCAGAUGUCCAAUGUGAUUAAGGAUACUUUGAAAUUAUUAUUGGUGUCUUUGUUUGGUACUUUAAGUAAUUGAUUUCUUAUUUGCAGUUUUUAAUGGGAGGAAAAGCUGGACAUCAUGCAUCAGUUUUUGACAAGUACCGGCUCAAAUAAACGGUUAGCUUUUGACAGUUUUAGUUGGUGUUGCAUUUUGCUCAGAAGAUACAAAAACUUGCAUAUGCGUAUGCGUCAUUGUUUUUCUGCCCAUGUUUAGUGGUGCUAAAUACCAAACUUGAUAUAAUGCCAGUAUCUCUUCUUAUAUAUAAAGUUUUGACAUGGUGAUGGUGUUUGUUCGGUCUACAAUUUGGGCUCCCAAGUUCCUGCAGCCUUGCAGGUGGUGAUGGUAUAUAGCUAGCAUGGGAUGAUUACACCAUUUGGGUUCCUCAGAUUAAGAUGCUAAAUUAAGUCCGUCAAGGCAUUGUUCAAUUCGUCAAGUUUUAGUUCAGUAGUUAUAUUCUCUAAUUUAUCAGAUCUUUUUGUUAUUUACUUCAGGCUGUUGCAACAAAAGGCCAAGAGACCAAUGUGGUGACUCAAUAUGUUAUGUAAGUAGUAUAACUAAAAACAACGGAGGAAGUAUAUAUAAUAAUAUACGGUAUAUAUAAUCUUAAUGAUUUUAUAAUAAUUUUUUGAAAAAAUGAUUUCUUUAAUAGUUAUCUACUACAUCAGUCUAUAUUUAAC
rnacentral:lncRNA from 1 species